GAAAUUAUUUUUGGAAAUCAUGGAUGCUGUGUACUGCAGACUCAAGAGGAGAGGGACCAUCCAGCUUGUUAUCAGCGCACAGUUCAAAAGUCUGCAUCUCUGAUGGUAUAGGGUUGCAUUAGUGCCUAUGGAGUGGGCAGCUUACAUAUCUGGAAAGGCACUAUCAAUGCAGAAGAAUAUAUUAAGGU